UACGUAGGGUGCAAGCGUUGUCCGGAAUUAUUGGGCGUAAAGAGCUCGUAGGCGGUCUGUCGCGUCGGCUGUGAAAACCCGGAGCUCAACUCCGGGCCUGCAGUCGAUACGGGCAAACUGGAGUGUUGCAGGGGAGACUGGAAUUCCUGGUGUAGCGGUGAAAUGCGCAGAUAUCAGGAGAACACCAGUGGCGAAGGCAGGCUC
rnacentral:rRNA from 1 species